rnacentral:rRNA from 1 species
AGUGAACGCUGGCGGCAGGCCUAACACAUGCAAGUCGAACGGUAACAGGAAGCAGCUUGCUGCUUUGCUGACGAGUGGCGGACGGGUGAGUAAUGUCUGGGAAACUGCCCGAUGGAGGGGGAUAACUACUGGAAACGGUAGCUAAUACCGCAUAACGUCGCAAGACCAAAGAGGGGGACCUUAGGGCCUCUUGCCAUCGGAUGUGCCCAGAUGGGAUUAGCUAGUAGGUGGGGUAACGGCUCACCUAGGCGACGAUCCCUAGCUGGUCUGAGAGGAUGACCAGCCACACUGGAACUGAGACACGGUCCAGACUCCUACGGGAGGCAGCAGUGGGGAAUAUUGCACAAUGGGCGCAAGCCUGAUGCAGCCAUGCCGCGUGUAUGAAGAAGGCCUUCGGGUUGUAAAGUACUUUCAGCGGGGAGGAAGAGAGUAAAGUUAAUACCUUUGCUCAUUGACGUUACCCGCAGAAGAAGCACCGGCUAACUCCGUG